ensembl:lncRNA
CAAAAAAAGGAAGAUAGAUGUAAUCUUUUAGUCAGCAAAGCUUUGAAGCCCACAAGCUCAGGAAAUGCUUUGUUGUUGUAUGUAAGGCUGAAAGCACGUCAAGAAGUCAGUGAGUGUAUUAGAGACAGCAAGAACGAUGACAGUGUUUAAGACACGUGGGUGUUUGCUAGCAGCAAUCAGGAUUAUCUUUUUAACUGAGUUUUUGCUGACAGGUGUGAGAGGAGACGGCCCAGAGUCAAAAACAUUAGAUGUCAACAUGAGAAGAUUUUCAGAGCCUCAGUUGCACUCUUUGAGCCAUCUCAGCCAAUCAGAACGCUCCGAUGCAGCGGUGUCCAGAGGCGUGUGAUGACAGAGGUCUGGCACAGUGACGAGCCUGAUGCUGUAACCCUGCAAAAAGUGAAACAUCAACCUGGUGGCCUUUUUUUGUUCUUUUGUUUUUUUUGUUUUUCAGUGUUGGAAUUGUUGCAGAAUUUCAACAUUGAGUUUUACCUCUUUUACUUUCUCUGUAACAUUUGUUAUAAUUGUGUUCAUAAAAAAAUAUCUAAAGAAGACUUGCUUUGUGC